AGCCGCCGCGGUAACACCGGCGGCCCGAGUGGUGAUCGUGAUUAUUGGGUCUAAAGGGUCCGUAGCCGGUUUGGUCAGUCCUCCGGGAAAUCUGAUAGCUCAACUAUUAGGCUUUCGGGGGAUACUGCCAGACUUGGAACCGGGAGAGGUAAGAGGUACUACAGGGGUAGGAGUGAAAUCUUGUAAUCCCUGUGGGACCACCUGUGGCGAAGGCGUCUUACCAGAACGGGUUCGACGGUGAGGGACGAAAGCUGGGGGCACGAACCGGAUUAGAUACCCGGGUAGUCCCAGCCGUAAACGAUGCUCGCUAGGUGUCAGGCAUGGCGCGACCGUGUCUGGUGCCGCAGGGAAGCCGUGAAGCGAGCCACCUGGGAAGUACGGCCGCAAGGCUGAAACUUAAAGGAAUUGGCGGGGGAGCACAACAACGGGUGGAGCCCUGCGGUUUAAUUGGACUCAACGCCGGACAACUCACCGGGGGCGACAGCAAUAUGUAGGCCAAGCUGAAGACUUUGCCUGAAUCGCUGAGAAGAGGUGCAUGG
rnacentral:rRNA from 1 species